UUUGUGAAUAUAUAUAUUAUGUCAUAAUGAACAUAUUUAAACCAUAAGUAAAAAAUCGCGAAUUUUCCCUUUAGGGUCAAAAACAAGCAUUUUUGUAGUUGCUGGACAAUAAUUUGUAUGUAAGAGUGUGGACUUAUCUGACAAUGUACCAUAAGGUUCCAUAUCACAAAAGGAAUGCUGGGCUUGAGUUUGGGGGUUAUAACCCCAUUCAUGCAGGACUAAGGGGCAAACAGGAGCAUAUAUCUAGUUUCCAGAUAAUAACUUGUGUUUAAGUGUAUGGAUCUCUCUGAAAUUGUACUACAAGAAUCCAUACUACAAAGGAAAGGCAGGGAUCAAGUUUGGGGGUAGUUGCUCCAAAGGGGGAGGGGUCAAAAAGUUUUGAGGGUUCUAACUUUUUUAAGGGGUUCAAUUUUUUUUUCAAAUUUUUAUAAAGUUAUAAGAGGAAAUCUUUAAUUGCACAGUAUUGCGCAAUAGAUUUGUAAGAUCUUAAUAUAUGUUUUUUGACAGAAACCUAUAUUAUGUUAAAAAUUUGAUAACAAUCCAAAUUCAGACAGUAUCAAGCUUUGAGUAUUGUGCCGACAUUUGACCCAACUGUUCAGGGUUCAACCUCUGCGAUCGUAUCUCAGGCUGCGCUCAGCGAAG
rnacentral:lncRNA from 1 species